AUUGAACGCUGGCGGCAUGCCUUACACAUGCAAGUCGAACGGCAGCACGGGUGCUUGCACCUGGUGGCGAGUGGCGAACGGGUGAGUAAUACAUCGGGACAUGUCCUGUAGUGGGGGAUAGCCCGGCGAAAGCCGGAUUAAUACCGCAGACGAACUACGGAUGAAAGCGGGGGACCUUCUGGCCUCGCGCUAUAGGGUUGGCCGAUGGCUGAUUAGCUACUUGGUGGGGUAAAGGCCUACCAAGGCGACGAUGAGUAGCUGGUAUGAGAGGGAGACCAGCCACACGGGAACUGAGACACGGCCCAGAUUCCUACGGGAGGCAGCAGUGGGGAAUUUUGGACAAUGGGCGAAAGCCUGACCCAGCAAUGCCGCGUGUGUGAAGAAGGCCUUCGGAUUGUAAAGCACUUUUGUCCGGAAAGAAAUCCUUGGCCCUAAUAUGGUCGGGGGAUGACGGUACCGGAAGAAAAAGCACCGGCUAACUACGUG
rnacentral:rRNA from 1 species